CGAAAGCCUGACGGAGCAAGACCGCGUGGGGGAGGAAGGCUCUAGGGUUGUAAACCCCUUUUCUUUGGGAAGAACAAAAUGACGGUACCAAAGGAAUCAGCCUCGGCUAACUCCGUGCCAGCAGCCGCGGUAAUACGGAGGAGGCAAGCGUUAUCCGGAAUGAUUGGGCGUAAAGCGUCCGCAGGUGGCAAUGUAAGUCUGCUGUCAAAACCCAGGGCUCAACUCUGGUCACGCAGUGGAAACUACAUAGCGAGAGUUCGGUAGGGGCAAAGGGAUUUCCCGGUGUAGCGGUAAAAUGCGUAGAGAUCGGGAAGAACAUCGGUGGCGAAAGCGCUUUGCUAGACCUAAACUGACACUCAGGGACGAAAGCUAGGGGAGCG
rnacentral:rRNA from 1 species